GACGAACGCUGGCGGCGUGCUUAACACAUGCAAGUCGAGCGGUAAGGCCCUUUCGGGGGUACACGAGCGGCGAACGGGUGAGUAACACGUGGGUGACCUGCCCUCAGCUCUGGGAUAAGCCUGGGAAACCGGGUCUAAUACCGGAUAUGACUCCAUGACGCAUGUUGUGGGGUGGAAAGCCUUGUGCGGCUGAGGAUGGGCCCGCGGCCUAUCAGCUAGUUGGUGAGGUAAUGGCUCACCAAGGCUUUUGACGGGUAGCUGGUCUGAGAGGACGAUCAGCAACAUUGGGACUGAGACACUGCCCAGACUCCUACGGGAGGCUGCAGUCGAGGAUC
rnacentral:rRNA from 1 species